GACGAACGCUGGCGGCGUGCUUAACACAUGCAAGUCGAACGGAAAGGCCCUGCUUUUGUGGGGUGCUCGAGUGGCGAACGGGUGAGUAACACGUGAGUAACCUGCCCUUGACUUUGGGAUAACUUCAGGAAACUGGGGCUAAUACCGGAUAGGAGCUCCUGCUGCAUGGUGGGGGUUGGAAAGUUUCGGCGGUUGGGGAUGGACUCGCGGCUUAUCAGCUUGUUGGUGGGGUAGUGGCUUACCAAGGCUUUGACGGGUAGCCGGCCUGAGAGGGUGACCGGCCACAUUGGGACUGAGAUACGGCCCAGACUCCUACGGGAGGCAGCAGUGGGGAAUAUUGCACAAUGGGCGGAAGCCUGAUGCAGCAGCGCCGCGUGCGGGAUGACGGCCUUCGGGUUGUAAACCGCUUUCGCCUGUGACGAGGCGUGAGUGACGGUAAUGGGUAAAGAAGCACCGGCUAACUACGUG
rnacentral:rRNA from 1 species